CUUUGUUUUACACCACUGCCAGCUUUUCAUCCAGCACAGAGAGGAAUGGAGGGGGAAGUUUGAGCUUCAACAGUGAGGAAAAAGGAGCACCUGCGGGAGUCAUGAAUGGGCAAGUACACCAAGCCUGGAGAGCAGAACCUGAUGUGGCAUGACUUGACUGUCCUGUAAAGGAUUAGACUUCCCUGAGCCUCAGAGCUGAGAAGCAAAUUCUGAAAUUGAAUGUGGCAAAAACAACAAGAAGAUUUUUCAAGAGGCAAUGAAGGACCAGCAUCACCCACCUUGAGCAGCACCUUGCUGCAGAAACAGCUCCACAAAACUCAGUUUCUCCUCGAGGGUAAUCUCUUGGUUGAUGUUGCACAGCCAAUUACAUUACUCAACACAGCUUCUCUCUGCACCCAUCUAAGCCAUUUAGCUGGACUUUGGCAUAUUGAAAGAAAUAAUUUAUUCUUUUUGCUGUUGAUCAUAAUUUACUUCGAAG
ensembl:lncRNA